AUGGCAUAUUCAGACCAUAUUUGGAUUUUGUCCUUCAUAUUUGGAUUUUCUUUAUAUGACUAUGAAUGCAUAACCCCAGCAUCAGCCUGUCUGCCCUCCCCUUUAUUCCUACCAGCCCCGUAUUCUUUGUGUUCUGUAUCUUCCUAUGUAUGUUUUAGGAAACAAGAGGGCUUAUCGUCCGUCCUUCCUGACAUUUCUCACUGCCACUCUGCACUAGACUCCAUUCACGUUCACUACCUGGAAAUCCUGGACCAGGGGAUAAGGACAAAGGCCCAAAGCAGCCCCUGUUACCAUUUGGCUGGCAUUAAUUCUAUUUCAACUCCUCCUGAUCAAAAACAGAAGCUGUAUCACUGGUGCUCUGGUCUAAAGAUGCCCUGUGUCACCCGUGGGACAUCUGGCCUCAAGUGGCAACAUGUAGAGGGUGAGGAAGAGACAACUGGAGACACAUUCAGAAAGUUGUAAUAAUAAUAAUAAUAAAUUUAUAUAUGCUAUCUUAUUUGAUCCUUAA
rnacentral:lncRNA from 1 species